GAUGAACGCUGGCGGCGCGCCUAACACAUGCGAGUCGAACGAUUAAAGCACCUUCGGGUGUGUAUAAAGUGGCGAACGGCUGAGUAACACGUGGGCAACCUGCCCCUUUCAUUGGGAUAGCCACGGGAAACCGUGGAUAAUACCGAAUACUUCGAGACUUCCGCAUGGAAGACUCGAGAAAGCUCCGGCGGAGAGGGAUGGGCCCGCGGCCUGUUAGCUUGUUGGUGGGGUAACGGCCUACCAAGGCAAUGAUGGGUAGCUGGGUUGAGAGACCGACCAGCCAGAUUGGGACUGAGACACGGCCCAGACUCCUACGGGAGGCAGCAGUGGGGAAUCUUGCACAAUGGGCGAAAGCCUGAUGCAGCGACGCCGCGUGCGGGACGAAGGCCUUCGGGUUGUAAACCGCUUUCAGCAGGGACGAGGCGAAAGUGACGGUACCUGCAGAAGAAGCCCCGGCUAACUACGUG
rnacentral:rRNA from 1 species